rfam:Ornithorhynchus anatinus chromosome 6, whole genome shotgun sequence.
AGCAGUGUGGCUCAGUGAACAGAGCACAGGCUUGGGAGUCCGAGGUCCUGGGUUCUAAUCCCGGCUCCGCCA